UGAGGAAUCUGUCCAUCGGCGGGGGAUAGCCGGCCCAACGGCCGGGUAAUACCGCGUACGUCGGCGGGAGCGCAUGCUCCUGCCGGGAAAGCAGCAAUGCACCGAUGGAGGAUCUCGCGGCCUAUCAGCUUGUUGGUGAGGUCACGGCUCACCAAGGCGACGACGGGUAGCUGGUCUGAGAGGGCCGACCGGCCACACGUGGGACUGAGAUACCGGCCCAGACCUCGUACGGGA
rnacentral:rRNA from 1 species